rnacentral:lncRNA from 1 species
AGUGGGAUCAUUGGGCGGUGGGCGGUGUGGAGGAGUCUCCGCUGGUCCGCAGAAACGAACGAAGGCGCGAGAAUCGGGAAGUUCUGCCUCAGUGACCUGUACGCGUCCUAGCCGCAGUGAAUGUUGCUGAACCCCGGUGACCUCACAGUGGAGGGGCGGCCCCAUGGGGCCAUCGGACCGCGCCGCGCGGGGGCGUUCGCCAGGGCCUCCGCAGAAGCCCGCCUGUGCCCGCAACCGCCCCGAAAUUCUCUCCCUGGCACCGUGUCCGCUUUACGGAGCCCGGAGCAAGGCUCAGAAAAAUGUCCCAGCCAAAAACAUGGUACAUGCCUGUCAUCAGGCAAGUCUUCAAAGAGCGGCUGGGACCAGGGGCCGAGGGACCUCGUUUAGAGGCGGCUUAGGGGGAAGGUCUGUGUUUGUCUUGGAGUAAGGAUUAUUCUCGCUUGCUGGGGUCAUGGUGUUUUGGCCUCUCCUGGCCUGGACUCUCAAAAACUCAUCAUCCUUCAUAGGUCUGAAGGCUUCUACAUUCCCACCAGCAGGUGGACCAUAUGAACUCAAAACUAGUUGUGGCAGAGGGACCCUGAAGAGAUCUACCCCUGGUGAAUGCCCCCAGGAGUGGGCUGUUCUCACACCUGGUGCCCAGCCUGUGCCCUCGCAGGUCUUGGUGCCUCCACUCAGCUCAAUUCCAGUUUUCUGGCCAUGCCCCGCUGUGUCCCUUUCUCUCUCCUUAGUGCCUAGCUGUGCAAUGUUUGCCUCUCCUUAACAUGUCCUCAGCUGACCCCAUAUCCUCAGUCCUUGCAACCCUGUUCCUCAGUGACACCUGUGUAUUCUCUCCAGUGGAGACACAGGUGGGACACCCCCAAGCUCAUGGUACAUGCCUGUCAUCAGUACCCCUGGACUGUCAUGGUGGGUCAGUCUGCCCUAGGCUGGACUGACCAACCUGUUCAUUCCCCCACAGGAUUGCCCUUUACAGUUCAUGAGUUCCCCCAACUGGAGUGCAGACAAGAGCACUGAUUGAUGGACCAGGUAGACUUGAAACCAGGAAUAGCACAAAAGUUAUCAAAGAGGCUCAGCCAUGGAGAUUGCAAGCUGGGGAUGGAAGUAUCCCUGGAAUUGAGCUGUUCUCACACCUGGUACCUGAGUUAUACCCCUGGUGUCUGGGUACCAAGGUCACUAGCCUUGCCACUUUUCUAUGUUCCUGAUCCCCUACUAAACAGUCCACCUUUUCGCCUACUUCCCCUGACUCCUGUACCCUGUCCCCUCUUUCUGCCUAGUUUGAAGACACUGGUCAUCCCAUAACAUGUCCUGGGCUAAUACAUAUCCUCAAAUCGUUCUUGAAAAUCUGUUCCUCUUCCCUCCUCCCCCUCCCCCUCCCCCCCCCCCCGCUCUUUCCACGGUCUCCCUCUGAUGCCGAGCCGAAGCUGGACGGUACUGCUGCCAUCUCGGCUCACUGCAACCUCCCUGCCUGAUUCUCUUGCCUCAGCCUGCCGAGUGCCUGCGAUUGCAGGCGCGUGCCGCCACGCCUGACUGGUUUUCGUAUUUUUUUUGGUGGAGACGGGGUUUCGCUGUGUUGGCCGGGCUGGUCUCCAGCUCCUAACCACGAGUGAUCCGCCAGCCUCGGCCUCCCGAGGUGCCGGGAUUGCAGACGGAGUCUCGUUCAUUCAGUGCUCAAUGGUGUCCAGGCUGGAGUGCAGUGGCGUGAUCUCGGCUCGCUACAACCUCCACCUCCCAGCAACCCGCCUUGGCCUCCCAAAGUGCCGAGAUUGCAGCCUCUGCCCGGCGGCCACCCCGUCUGGGAAGUGAGGAGCGUCUCCGCCUGGCCGCCCAUCAUCUGGGAUGUGAGGAGCCCCUCUGCCUGGCUGCCCAGUCUGGAAAGUGAGGAGCGUCUCUGCCCGGCCGCCAUCCCAUCUAGGAAGUGAGGAGCGCCUCUUCCCGGCCGCCAUCACAUCUGGGAAGUGAGGAGCGUCUCUGCCCGGCCGCCCAUCGUCUGAGAUGUGGGGAGCAUCUCUGCCCUGCCGCCCCGUCCGGGAUGUGAGGAGCGUCUCUGCCCGGCCGCCCCGUCUGAGAAGUGAGGAGACCCUCUGCCUGGCAACUGCCCCGUCUGAGAAGUGAGGAGCCCCUCCGCCCGGCAGCCGCCCCGUCUGAGAAGUGAGGAGCCCCUCCGCCCAGCAGCCACCCCGUCUGGGAAGUGAGGAGCAUCUCCGCCCGGCAGCCGCCCC